GACGAACGCUGGCGGCGUGCUUAACACAUGCAAGUCGAACGAUGAAGCCGGAGCUUGCUCCGGUGGAUUAGUGUCGAACGGGUGAGUAACACGUCAGCAAUCUGCCCUUGACUCUGGGAUAACUGCGGGAAACUGUAGCUAAUACCGGAUAUGACACCUUGGGGCAUCCCAGGGUGUGGAAAGAAUUUCGGUCAAGGAUGAGCUCGCGGCCUAUCAGCUAGUUGGUGAGGUAAUGGCGCACAAAGGCGAGGACGGGUAGCCGGCCUGAGAGGGUGACCGGCCACACAGGAACUGAGACACGGUCCAGACUCCUACGGGAGGCAGCAGUGGGGAAUAUUGGACAAUGGGCGCAAGCCUGAUGCAGCAACGCCGCGUGAGGGAUGACGGCCUUCGGGUUGUAAACCGCUUUUAGCAGGGAAGAAGCGAAAGUGACGGUACCUGCAGAAAAAGCACCGGCUAACUACGUGCCAGCAGCCGCGGUAA
rnacentral:rRNA from 1 species